AUGUGUUGUCUCCUCCUCUUUGCAGGUCACAUAGGAAUCGCUGUCCCCGAUGUUUACGCUGCUUGUAAGAGGUUUGAAGAACUCGGAGUCACCUUUAUAAAGAAACCCGAUGAUGGGAAGAUGAAAGGAUUAGCGUUCAUUCAGGACCCCGAUGGCUACUGGAUAGAAAUUCUCAGCCCCAACACCAUGAUGUCCAUCGUCUAACGAUCAGACGCCCUCUGCUGGUCGCAUCGCGCCUACGCCUCGCCCCCCCCCCCCCCCCAACACAUCGCCUGGGGUCCCGCCAUUGUUAUAUCAGAUACUUUCUAUGCCCGUUCUUCAUUAAAAGUUAUUUAAGAUCCAGAAUGAGCGGGAAGAACUACAACUCCCAGCAUUCUGGUCGGUGGGAUUAUUUUCAGGCCACGAUUGGUAAAUGUGAUUUCAAUUAAUGUGAACCUGUCAUGGUGGAGGUCGGGGUUCUUCCAACUUGUGUGAAAGCCGUUAUCGGCUGUCUCCAGAGCUCGGCAAUCUGUAUAUACCCGGUGUGGGGGGUGGGUGUGGCUUAACGCCUGGCUACCACUUAUAUUCGUCACAGUUUUGAGGCAACGCUUCAUUGGCGCACCCAAAACUGUGACCCAACUGUCAUGGAUGGCUCGCGGUCCACUACCGAGGAUUAGGAUUGGCUGAACAGUGAUGUCAUCAUCAUCAUGAGCCCAUUCUACUGGCUUAUGGGCCACUACUGCGGAUUGGGGGGCCAAUAGGAUGGGCUCACGAUGACCUCCUUGUUCAGCCAAUCAUAAUCCUCGGUAGUGGACUGUCAGUAGGAUGGGCUCAUGAAGACCUUGUCAUUGUUAUGCCAAUCCUAACCCUCCCCAUCUUUGGUAGUGUACUGUGAACCAGCCAAUCCUAAUCCUCUGUAGUGGGCUCAUUAUGACCUCAUCAUUGUUCAGCCAAUCCUAACCCCUAACAAUCUUUGGUAGUGGACUGUGAACCAGCCAAUCAUAAUCCUCGGUAGUGGGCUGUCGGAAGGAAGGGCUCAUGAUGACCUCAUCAUUGUUCAGCCAAUCCCAAUCCUUGGUAGUGGGCUGUCCAGUAGGAAGGGCUCAUGAUGACCUCAUCAUUGUUCAGCCAAUCCCAAUCCUCGGUAGUGGGCUGUCGGUAGGAAGGGCUCAUGAUGACCUCAUCAUUGCUUAACGCCUGGCCACCACUUAUAUGCGUCAGUCUUUGAGGCAACGCUUCAUUGGUGCCCCCAAAUAAACUGUGACCCAACUGUCAUGGAUGGUUCAUGGUUAACUACCGAGGAUUAGGAUUGGCUGAACAGUGAUGUUGCCAUCAUCAUGAGCCCAUUCUACUGGCUUACGGUCCACUACUGAGGCUUGGGGGGGCCAAUAGGAAGAGCUCAUGAUGACCUACCUCAUCAUUGUUCAGCCAAUCCUCAGUAGUGAAUAGUCGGUAGGAAGGGCUCAUGAUGACCUCAUCAUUGUUCAGCCAAUUCUAACCCUCCCCAUCUUUGGUAGUGGACUGUAAACCAGCCAAUCCUAAUCCUCGGUAGUGGACUGUCCAGUAGGAUGGGCUCAUAAUGACCUCAUUGUUCAGCCAAUCCUAAUCCUCGGUAGUGGACGGUCAGUAGGGUGGACUCACAAUGACCUCAUCAUUGUUCAGCCAAUCCUAACCCCUAAGGGCUUGUUCAUACUUGCUUUGGUCUCCUGAAGAGCGAUCAACAUUCAGAUCACUCUACAGAGGACAUUUGAUAGGUGAUGAAGGAGUUGUUGUUUCACCUCCUCACCGCCUGCUUUGAUUGACGCAAAAGCGCCCCAGAUUUCACACAGUUGUAGGACGCCUACAGAGCAUCCCUAUUCACGUGAAUGGGUCAUGUUCGGCAGGGGCUUCACCCGCCAAAAGCAACAGGGGAGAUAAUUUCUUCUGCGGCAAAUGAACACCUGUAGCCGCUGGAGGGGGGGAGCGAUUAGGGGUGGUAAGAGUGGCCCAACAGCAAGGUUUUACAACUCCGCCCAAACGCGUUGCGGCCAAUAGGCUAGAAUGAAAUGUCACUUUUGAUGUUUUCAUAAAGGUUGCAAUGUGAUGGGGCUGCUUAUAGGGCACACUCAUGGGUGCUGCCCGUAGUGGGCGCUGCCAGUAUGAACAAGCCCUAUAGGGACACGAAUGGGCUGCUUAUAGGGCACACUCGUGGGUGCUGCCCGUAGUGGGCACUGCCAGUAUGAACAAGCCCUAUAGGGACACAAAGUAGCUGAGAAAUCCUUUUUUUUUUUUUUGGAGGGGGAUGUCGGGGGGGCGUAGCUGCAGUAUUAGAGGAGAGAAAUACCAAAUUUUGUGCCUUAUCGGAAGCCACCCUUUAGUGUUCAACCCGCAAUCAUGUGACCGCGCUCAUACGAUCAAACCGCUUCGUCUGUAAAUACCAAUAAAUCUUUGAAAUGAA